AUGUGCGAUCAUACCAGCACUAAAUCAUUGGAUCCCAUUAGAACUCCGAAGUUAAGAGUGCUUAGGCGAGAGUAGUAUAAGGAUAGGUGACCCCUGUUGAAUCUCGUAUUUUGAUGA
rnacentral:rRNA from 1 species